CUCUACAUUGUUUUCUUCAUUGCUUUCACUUCCCUCGUUCAUUUCAUCCGUUUCUCUGUUAUCUCCUUUGCAGUGGGAAGCAAGAUUGAGGCCUACCUUUGUUCUUAGCUAAGCACAGCUGGGGACUGAACCCAGGGCCUUGCGCUUGCUAGGCAAGUGCUCUACCGCUCUGAGCUAAAUCCCCAACCCCUCGUCUACUGAUUUUUGAGUGUUCAUUUUGCACCCUGCUACUUUGACGGCAGCUUUUAUUGAGGGAGACCCCUAGGAUGUCCGGGCAGGGCAACGGAUCUCAAAGAGGUGAGAAUGGCUUGGUUCAGACUGACGUCGUCAUCCUGAAUCAGACACGGGGAGUCUGAUGACAGGGGGCUGACUGUCAGCAUAUUUAAAACACAGUGCAAUUUGGAAGAAAGUUUCCAGGCCACAAUCAGUCCAGUUCCAGGUGCACAGUAAAACUUAAGGUGUGACUACAGAAACCCCUUAACAAAGAACACAUGACCUUGAGGGUAGGCUCUAUGGAUAAAAGGCAAAUCUAUUGUGGUCUCUGACUGAGAUAACAUCUAUAUCAGCGGGCCAUAAAAUACAUCUCCCCUAAGGAACUUAAGACCAAGGUCUAAGGAGGAAGAGUUUUCCCAAACUCUGGGGGAUUUGUGUGAGGUCUGCCUGCACAGAUAGCGAAAGGUUACCAGGUCGUUAACAAUAUCCACUCCCGACCUUCUGGAUGGAAAACAGGCAAUUCCUUGUUUGAGGAGAGGGCCCUGUGUGCUUAAUGUUCCUGGUUCUCCUGUGUUCUGUGGGCACAAGGAUCUUUGUAUCCCGAACAGUUUAUCAGCUGUUCAACUUUCCUGGUGGAAUUUUUUGGGGGGUGGUGAUGUCAGUUAUGUAUAAAAUUUUUUUUUUUUGGUUCUUUUUUUCGGAGCUGGGGACCGAACCCAGGGCCUUGCGCUUCCUAGGCAAGCGCUCUACCACUGAGCUAAAUCCCCAACCCCAGUUAUGUAUAAAAUUAUACCAUCUGCAAAUAAGAUACUUUGACUCCUUCCUUUCCCGUUUGUAUCCCCUUGAUCUCCCUCAGGUGUCACUGCUCUAGCUAAGACUUCGGGUGCUAUACUGAAUAGGCAGGAGAGAGUGUCUUGAUCCUAAUUUUAGUAGAAAUGCUUUGGGUUUCUCUCUGGAAGAGAACCAUUGCUCUUAACCACUGAGCCAUCUCUCUAGUACAACCAUAUGUUUCUUUGAGUCAGGAUCUUUCACUGGGACCUGGGACUCACUGGUUAGGGAAGAGUAACUGCCCACUCAGCCCAAGGGGUCCUCCCACCCCUACCUCCCCAGAACUGGGAUUACAAGUCGGUAUCUGUGCUCCGCCUUUUUAUAUGGGUUCUGGGGAUCAAACUUUAGUCCUCAUGCUUGUGAGGCAAACAUUUUCCUAACUGAGCUAUCCCCCCAGCUCCUAGUUUUCACUCUUGUAUUUAUAUUAUUAAUCUAUUUUGAGUAAAUUUAUAUCAGCUGUGAGGUAGGGGGGUCUCCCUUCAUUGACUUUCAUGUUGUCCAGUCAUCAAAAAACUAUUGGCUAAAGAGAUUACUCUUUCCUCACUGGAUUCUUUUGGCACAUUUGUCAAAGGCCAUCUUACCACAGUGUGAGGGGAGGUUUCUCACUCAGUACAGCUCAUCGACUUCCGUUUAUCUCACAUAACCACGUUGUCUCUGUCCCUACAGUUAUGGACUAAUAUUUAGAAACCGAGAGAAUAAAUGCCCCAAGUUUUUAUUCAAAAAAAUAUUGAACUGUCUGUACUGGCUGGUUUGUGUGCGUCAACUUGACACAAGCUGGAGUUAUCACAGAGAAAGGAGCCUCCGUUGAGGAAAUGCCUCCGUGAGACCCAGCUGUAAGGCAUUUUCUCAAUUAGUGAUCAAGGGGCGAGGACCAUUGUGGGAGGUGCCGUCCCUGGGCUGGUGGUCCUGGGUUCUCUAAGAAGACAGGCUGAGCAAGGCUAGUAAGCAGUACCCCUCCUGCAUCAGCUCCUGCCUCCAGGUUCCUGUCCUGUGUGAGUUCCUGUCCUGACUUCCUUUGGUGAUGAACAGCAAUGUGGAAGUGUGAGCUGAAUAAACCCUUUCCUCCCC
ensembl:lncRNA LOC120096651 uncharacterized LOC120096651